rnacentral:rRNA from 1 species
GAUGAACGCUGGCGGCGUGCCUAAUACAUGCAAGUCGAGCGAACAGACGAGGAGCUUGCUUCUCUGAUGUUAGCGGCGGACGGGUGAGUAACACGUGGAUAACCUACCUAUAAGACUGGGAUAACUUCGGGAAACCGGAGCUAAUACCGGAUAAUAUUUUGAACCGCAUGGUUCAAUAGUGAAAGACGGUCUUGCUGUCACUUAUAGAUGGAUCCGCGCUGCAUUAGCUAGUUGGUAAGGUAACGGCUUACCAAGGCAACGAUGCAUAGCCGACCUGAGAGGGUGAUCGGCCACACUGGAACUGAGACACGGUCCAGACUCCUACGGGAGGCAGCAGUAGGGAAUCUUCCGCAAUGGGCGAAAGCCUGACGGAGCAACGCCGCGUGAGUGAUGAAGGUCUUCGGAUCGUAAAACUCUGUUAUUAGGGAAGAACAGAUGUGUAAGUAACUGUGCACAUCUUGACGGUACCUAAUCAGAAAGCCACGGCUAACUACGUG